GAUGAACGCUGGCGGCGUGCCUAAUACAUGCAAGUCGAGCGAACGGACGAGAAGCUUGCUUCUCUGAUGUUAGCGGCGGACGGGUGAGUAACACGUGGAUAACCUACCUAUAAGACUGGGAUAACUUCGGGGAACCGGAGCUAAUACCGGAUAAUAUUUUGAACCGCAUGGUUCAAAAGUGAAAGACGGUCUUGCUGUCACUUAUAGAUGGAUCCGCGCUGCAUUAGCUAGUAGGUAAGGUAACGGCUUACCAAGGCAACGAUGCAUAGCCGACCUGAGAGGGUGAUCGGCCACACUGGAACUGAGACACGGUCCAGACUCCUACGGGAGGCAGCAGUAGGGAAUCUUCCGCAAUGGGCGAAAGCCUGACGGAGCAACGCCGCGUGAGUGAUGAAGGUCUUCGGAUCGUAAAACUCUGUUAUUAGGGAAGAACAUAUGUGUAAGUAACUGUGCACAUCUUGACGGUACCUAAUCAGAAAGCCACGGCUAACUACGUG
rnacentral:rRNA from 1 species